GAACAGGCUAUUUGUGCAAGUAGAAGAGGGUCCAGGGAAGUCCAAACAUGUGUUGGUAGAAAUGUAAGGCCCAGGCAUGUCUCAAUGGAGCACACAGCUAUGGAGAUGACAGCAAUAGAUAGACCAGGGUUAAUGUCCGAGAUAUCUGCUGUGCUGGCUGAGUUAGGAUGCCAUGUCUCUGGUGCCGUGGCAUGGACACAUAACAAGCGAGCAGCCUGCAUUGUUUACAUGGAAGAUGAUCUGAAGCAUGGGCCAAUCAUGGACCCCUAUAGAGUGGCACAAAUACAGGCCCAGCUGGAGAAUGUUGUUGAGGCCCACCAUUAUGAAGGGGAGCGACGGAGUGUGAGGUUGGCAGCCCCUGCAGCUAGCCAGACCCAUACCGAAAGAC
rnacentral:misc_RNA from 1 species